AAGCAGGUCUUGGAUAAAGCCUGACAACUCCCAAUGGGACUGGAAGUCCUCAGUUCUCUCCAGUCCCCACAGGGCUACAUGCUCCUACUUAGUGGCUGCAGUAUCAAUGUGUGCUGCCAUCUGUGGCUGGAGUUUUAAGAUGGCAAACCAGCCUGACCAAUGACCUCCAUCCCUCCCAUGGGAGCUCCAGGUCCACAUUUGCAGGGUGGACAGACGGUUGCUGUGUUUUUAUUUACUCCUCUAUGUGUUGUCCCUGCAUCCCAGCAUCCAAGAGAACAGGUUACAUCUAUGGACUUUCCAUGCAGAAAAUGAGGUCAGCAAUUGAUAAAUGGUAUCUCAUGAAGUUUUGGAAACUCUGUAUUGCAAAGGAAAUGGUGAGUAAAGAGUCGGCACAUGGAAUAGGAGAAAAUCUCAGUUAGCUACAUAUGGUGCAGGGGAUUAGGUCUAGAAUAUACAGUGAACUCAAACAGCUAAGCUUCAAGAAAACAAACAACUCAACUGAAAAUGAACUAUGGAACCAAGCAAAAAGUUCUUAAAACAAGAAAUAUAAAUGACUGUAAAUACAUUUUAAAAAUAAGCAGGUCACUAUCCUUAGCUAGUAGGGAAAUGCAGAUCAAAGCUACUUUCAGAUUUCAUCUCACCUCAAGAAUGGUCAAAUUAGGAAUCCAAAUGACAACAAAUUCGGGUGUGGAUGUCAGGGAAGGGCAGCUCUUACAUUUUGUAGGAGCAUAGACUAAUACAGGAACUGUGGACUAGAAAUAGAACUACCAUACGACCCAGCUUGGGCAGAUAGCCAAAGGACUUUAUGUCACCCUACAGAGAUCUGUGUUCACUGCAGCUCAAUUCACAAUAGUUGGGAAAUGGAAUCCACCAGCACAUUUAUCAACUGGUGAAUGGGUAAUGAAAACAUAGUACGAAUACACAAUGGGAUAUUACUCAGCUACAAAGAAAAAUGAAAUCGUGAAAUUUGCAGGUAAGUGGAUGGGAACUGGAAAAACUUAUAUGAGUGGGGUCACGAUAGAUCCCAACUUUCAAUCUCACACCUGAUUUGUGUCAUGCUGGGGAUGGAACUCAAGCAAACACUCGACCAAUGAAGCUACACCUCCUGCUCAAAAGCCAGCUUCUAUACUGUGUUGGACACCUCUUAACCGGAUUUGUAUAUUAACCAUGCAUCUAAUCACCUUACUGAA